GUGGUGGCUCAGUGGUAGAGCGCUUGCCUAGCAUGUGGGAGGCACUGGGUUCCAUUCUCAGCACCACA
rnacentral:tRNA from 1 species